GAUGAACGCUAGCUACAGGCUUAACACAUGCAAGUCGAGGGGCAUCAUGGUCAAAGCUUGCUUUGACUGAUGGCGACCGGCGCACGGGUGAGUAACGCGUAUCCAACCUUCCCCUUAGUAGGGGAUAGCCCGGUGAAAAUCGGAUUAAUACCCUAUGUUGUUCGACGAGGACAUCUGAGUUGAACCAAAGAUUCAUCGCUAAGGGAUGGGGAUGCGUCUGAUUAGGUUGUUGGCGGGGUAACGGCCCACCAAGCCGUCGAUCAGUAGGGGUUCUGAGAGGAAGGUCCCCCACAUUGGAACUGAGACACGGUCCAAACUCC
rnacentral:rRNA from 1 species